GGCGACGGCCAAUCUUGAAAUGACGAAGGCUAAUCUUGAAAUGACGAAGGCUAAUCUUGAAAUUCGUGACGAAAGUAGCUUGGAAAGAAGUUCUCUUGAGGAUUCAACAGUUGGCAUGAGUAUGCAAGGAGAAGAGACUAUUUGUGAUGACCCUAAUCCUCCUUCAGUCUUUACUGGAAGUCAAGCAGGCUCUUGUGAACAAAAUGGU